UACAGAGGGUGCGAGCGUUGUCCGGAAUCACUGGGCGUAAAGGGCGCGUAGGCGGUGCGGUAAGUCACCUGUGAAAUCUCCUGGCUCAACUGGGAGCUUGCAGGCGAAACUGCCGUGCUGGAGUGUGGGAGAGGUGCGUGGAAUUCCUGGUGUAGCGGUGAAAUGCGUAGAUAUCAGGAGGAACACCUGUGGCGAAGGCGGUGAUCUGGGCCGAUACUGACGCUGUAGAGCGAAAGCGUGGGAGCGAACAGG
rnacentral:rRNA from 1 species